UACGUAGGGGGCAAGCGUUGUCCGGAAUCAUUGGGCGUAAAGCGCGUGUAGGCGGUCCGGUAAGUCCGCUGUGAAAGUCGGGGGCUUAACCCUCGGAUGCCGGUGGAUACUGUCGGGCUUGAGUACGGAAGAGGCGAGUGGAAUUCCUGGUGGUAGCGGUGAAAUGCGCAGAUAUCAGGAGGAACACCAAUUGCGAAGGCAGCUCGCUGGGACGUUACUGACGCUGAGACGCGAAAGCGUGGGGAGCAAACAGG
rnacentral:rRNA from 1 species